AGAGUUUGAUCCUGGCUCAGAAUGAACGUUGGCGGCGUGGAUUUAGGCAUGCAAGUCGAGCGCGAUAGUGUAGCAAUACAUGGAGAGCGGACGAAGGGAGAGUAAUACGUAGGUAUCUACCCUCGGGGUCUGGGAUAGCAGCGGGAAACUGCUGGUAAUACCAGAUAACGUCUCCGGACCAAAGGUGUGAUUCCACCUGAGGAGGAGCCUACGGCCUAUUAGCUAGUUGGUAGGGUAACGGCCUACCAAGGCAAAGAUGGGUAUGGGGUGUGAGAGCAUGCCCCCACUCACUGGGACUGAGACACUGCCCAGACACCUACGGGUGGCUGCAGUCGAGAAUCUUCGGCAAUGGGCGAAAGCCUGACCGAGCGACGCCGCGUGCGGGAUGAAGGCCUUCGGGUUGUAAACCGCUGUCGUAGUGGAGGAAAUGUAGGAGAGUUAUCUCCUCUACUUGACUAAUACUAGGAGGAAGGACCGGCUAAUCUCGUG
rnacentral:rRNA from 1 species